CAGAUUGAUCACAUUCCAAAAUCUGGCCCUCUCGUUUUCCUUAACAUGAUCAAAGAAGUUAAGAUUUCAGCUUUAAUUUUUCAUGUGUAAUAAGUAGAAAUAAUAAUUUAUAAAGUAGUCCGGAUUUUACAGACUCAUUUUGGCUUAGGAGACGUGGGCGAUCUCAAUCACACCCACCGCCAAGUGCACAGCCUUCCUGCUCUGCAGAUCUCAGAAGUGCCUGCCCUCGCCUGCUCACUGUCCUCUUCAUCCCUGCUGGUGUUGGCGCAAAGCCACAGCGCCCCUGUUGUCCGUGGCAGAGAAGGCUGUCUGGGAAGGAGGAGCACAGUCUGGCUAGGCUGUCACCUAGAAAUGCAUGCGUGGAGAUGCUGGGAC
rnacentral:lncRNA from 1 species